UGCACACGAGGAAGAGGAAGGGAGCCUCGCAAACUUUGAAAGUCGCCGUCAAGUCAAAUAAAUACCCUACAACACCAACCCAGGACUGAGAUCUGGAUGCUGGAAUGACGGUGGUGGUGGUGGCUUUCAGUAUUCCCCAGGUUUUGUCCGAAGCACCGGCACGCCCUCUCUUAAAGUCCUCUCUCCGCAUAGUGGUGAGAUGGGAAAAUCCAGAGCUGUCCAAUGUCUUGGGUAAUCUACAGCAUCGCCUGAUGUCUGACGCUAGGACACCACGUAAAGUCAAGUCAAGGGAAGUGAAUGCGCCCUAGGCCCCUGCAGGCCACCAGGAAGAGCUAGAGGGAGUUGGUGCAAUUCUAGAGAUGCCAGCAGGUGCACCAAUCUGUGGCACACAUACACUCUCCAAUGGAAAACAACUCAAGACCACACCAAGUUUGUAUUAAAAAGUAUUGUUGUAUUACUUUUUACCAACCUCCAACCAUUAUACAAAAUUAAAAAUACACACACACACACACACACACUCUCACAAACAGCCAUAGAACUUAUCCCAAAAGAUCAACCCGGAAAUCUUCCAGAAUAUGACAGAUGCAUUGAGAGGGCAGAGAAAUUGAUUACACAUACAAAAGGUCGCUUUCCUAUGGAAUUUCAUUAGAUUAAAUAAGGUGUUCCCUCCUCACAGUCCUAUCCUUUUGCGCAAUCAUAUAAAUAAUCUAGUUAAAGUCCUUGAACUAUGAUUUGUAUAAUUUUUAGUUUUCCCCUUUUGAAGGGGCCUAAGAGAAAGGUUUGAGAAACCGGCUCUUGGGGGGUGGGGAGGGGUAAGGGGUAAGAGGGUCCUGUGCCUUUCAUUCAACCUGGGAGUUUCUCAGGGUUGCAGCCUUUCCACCUGAGUGUUUAUUCUUGUACAUUUUCUCAUCUUUCUCCUGGGUUCAUAGGAUCCUGGAGAUUACCUAGUCCAAUCCUUUUGUUUCAGAAACAAAAAACCUGAGGCUCAGAGAGGCUAAGUCAAAUGCCUAGGGUCACACAGGGCAACUGUGGGAGGUGGAUCCUUGAGUCCCAGUCCUUUAAACUGGUUGCCAAAUGACAUUCUAGAACCUUUCCCCCCAACCCCCUUUUUAAUGACAGGGUCUGGCUCUGCCACCCAGGCUGGAGUGCAGUGGCGCGAUCUUGGCUCACUGCAACCUCUACCUCCUGGGCUCAAGCCAUUCUCCCUCCUCAGCCUUCCAAGUAGCUGGGACAACAGGCACAUGCUACUACGCCCAGUUAAUUUUUGUAAUUUUGUUCUGUAGAGACAGAUUUGCCAUGUUGCUCAGGCUGGUCUCGAAUUCCUGGUCUCAAGCAAUACACCUGCUUAGGCCUCCCAAAGUGCUGGGAUUACAGGUAGAUUGCUCCCAGUCAGGCUUCCCUUCCCCCACCUGCACCCCCCUAACCUGGCCUAGAUUCACAGGAACUGUAAUCACAGCUGACACACUCGAUUUGGAAUCAGCACAGAGAGCACUCUGAAAAUUGUCAAAUAGGGUCUCUGAAACUUGUAUAUCUUCUCCUGAAGACCCUGAAGCACCUUUGCUCUUUUUUUUAACCUUAAAAUAUGGCACUCAGGUUUUUAUCCCUCUCCCCAACGCCAUGUUUCCUUUCUGUAUUAGUCAUGUGCCUGAUCCUAGAGUCUGUUUUCCCCACUUUAACUGGGGAGGGCUGGACAAGGUGGAAUUCCAAGUGCAGGAGACAGGAUGUGACAUAGGUGAGAUGCCCACGGCUCACUGACUGAAACUUCGAUGGCUCUUCCCUGUUUCCUUGUGCAGGGCCCCCCUUCUCUCCAGGGGCUCCCCUGGCUCUCCUCCUCCUUUCCUGCCUGCUUUGCAGCUCUUGCUACUAUUUUCCUUUUCUUUCACUGCUCCCACCCUGGCCCAAUUUACUUCCCAGAAAUAUCACAGGGCCAGCUGGGCGCAGCGGCUCACCCCUGUAAUCCCAGCACUUUUCGAGGCUGAGGAGGGUGGAUCACUUGAGGUCAGGAGUUAGAGAUCAGCCUGGCCAACACGGUGAAAUCCCGUCUCUACUAAAAAUACAAUAAUUUGCCAGGCGUGGUGGUGGGCGCUUGUAGUUCCAGCUACUCGCGAGGGAGGCUGAGGCAGGAGAAUCACUUGAACCCGGGAGGCAGAUGUUGCAGUGAGCCGAGAUCACGCCAUUGCGCUCCAGCUUGGGUGACAGAAUGAGACUCUGUCUC